GAUUAAGAAGAUGAUUAUAUGAUGAUUAUGAUGGCAUGAUAUGAAUAUGUUGAAUUGUGAGAUCAUGGUAACGGUAUGAUGAUAAAAGGUUGAAGGUUUAGGCUGUUGAGGUGCUUCGGGGCCAUUUGUAAGAAGACUUGGAAAUUUCCCAAGUUGUUGGUGAGUCCUCAAAGCUCGAGGAUGGUGCCAAUUGUUCUAUCCUAGUAGUAUUGCUUAUGUCUAAAGAUACUUAUUCUUGAGACUAUUGUUUUAAGCGUAUAUGUGACAUAUUGUACUUGUAAGGGCUAUGCCCAAACCUUUGUAACUCUCCUUUAAAUGGAUACAUGUGAGACAAAGUAUUAAACUACUUAAAUGAAUUGAACAUGCUAAAUGAUAGAUCUAUAUAAACUUCAUCAGGGAGGAGUCUAUGUAAAUUCCAUAUAUGAUAUGUGAGAAGUCUAAGUACACUUCAUUA